UACGUAGGGUGCAAGCGUUGUCCGGAAUUAUUGGGCGUAAAGAGCUCGUAGGCGGUUUGUUAAGUCCGCUGUGAAAGCCCUGGGCUCAACCUGGGAAUUGCAGUGGAUACUGGCAAGCUAGAGUGCGGUAGAGGAUGGUGGAAUUCCCGGUGUAGCGGUGAAAUGCGUAGAGAUCGGGAGGAACACCCGUGGCGAAGGCGGCCAUCUGGACCAGCACUGACGCUGAGGCACGAAAGCGUGGGGAGCAAACAGGG
rnacentral:rRNA from 1 species